UACGAAGGGGGCUAGCGUUGUUCGGACUCACUGGGCGUAAAGCGCACGUAGGCGGAUUUGUUAGUCAGGGGUGAAAUCCCGGGGCUCAACCUCGGAACUGCCUUUGAUACUGCAAAUCUCGAGUCCGGAAGAGGUGAGUGGAAUUCCUAGUGUAGAGGUGAAAUUCGUAGAUAUUAGGAAGAACACCAGUGGCGAAGGCGGCUCACUGGUCCGUUGCUGACGCUGAGGUGCGAAAGCGUGGGGAGCAAACAGG
rnacentral:rRNA from 1 species